GGGGCGGGGCCUGUUCGUUGGCGCGCUUGGAGGGGCUGGGCCCAAUGACACGUACUGUGGGAGAGGAGCUUGGCCUUUGAGGCGUCUUUAGGAGCCAAUCUUGAUUGUCUUCGUCUUUUGGGGAGGAAGAGUUGGUAGUUUGAGUGUUAGGAGGAGCGAGACCUGGCCGUUGACACGACCCGAGGGGCGGGACUUAGCUGCUCAGGCCGGAGGCGGAACCUCGCUUCUUUGAGUGCUUCACGUGCUCUGAGGGGCGGGGCUUAGCGUUUGACCUGAAGAGGCAAGGCCUGCCUAUUGGACUGUUCUUUGAGGGGCGGGGCCCAACUGUGAACUGCUCUGAUUGAAGCUGUUUGAAACGUGUAGCGCUCUCAGUCGGUCAAGCUCUCACCUCACCUUGAUCGUUUAUUAACAGUUUUAUUGCAGCAUCGCCACGCUGGGUCCUUCCAAGGGCCAGGGCAGAGGUUCUUAUUCCCACUUGACCCGUGCUUUCGCUGCUGGGGAAGAGAAAUGCCCCCUCCGUUAGUAUGGAACAGCCCCGCAAAACCUUGAACUGCGAGGGUGUCUUGGAGAGGCUAGUUAUCAUCGGAGGGCCCCGGAGCAAAAUCCAUGAAUGGGGUAUUUUGAACAAAGACUGAAGAGAUCAAAUCUAAGCAGCUGCUCUGCAAUGGAGGCUACUAUCUAGUCCCUGAAAAGAUACAAGCUAGAGUCGUCUGCAAAGAGGGGAUCUCAGUGGAGGAAUUGACCCCAUCAGACUACCUCUUACUCAUGCCAGUGGCUGUGGUGAGGGACACACACUGCAGGUGUUCCACUCCUGGGCAUGUGUGCCUGGGCUGUAUUAGAACGGCAACUGAAUGAGGCUGGAGGCAGCACCCUUCAUGGUCUCUGCUUAAGUUCUACCCCCCCGCAGGAGAGCGUGUCUUCAAUGACUGCCUGUCACGGGGAAGAAUAAACCAAAUAAAUCCUUUCCUCUCUAA